AUCUAAAUUUUUAUAAUUUUAAAUAAAAUAAUUUUGAUUAAUCAAAAUUAGAUGUAACUAGUUUCUUUGUAACUUGUAUCACAUACAACAAUACCUAGGAUUUCAAGAUCUAAGAUUUUUCAAGAAAUUAAGUUUUUUUCUUUUGCUUUCUUCUUCAUUGGACCUCAUAGUGGCAUCUCUACACGCCAUGAAGAGCACCCU
rnacentral:lncRNA from 1 species